rnacentral:rRNA from 1 species
UACGUAGGGUGCGAGCGUUGUCCGGAAUUACUGGGCGUAAAGAGCUCGUAGGUGGUUUGUCGCGUUGUUCGUGAAAACUCACAGCUUAACUGUGGGCGUGCGGGCGAUACGGGGCAGACUGGAGUACUACAGGGGAGACUGGAAUUCCUGGUGUAGCGGUGGAAUGCGCAGAUAUCAGGAGGAACACCGGUGGCGAAGGCGGGUCUCUGGGGCAGUAACUGACGCUGAGGAGCGAAAGCGUGGGGAGCGAACAGG